rnacentral:misc_RNA from 1 species
AAAAAUAGUUUUGUCCAGAAAGGGCAAGGUGGUGAAACUCUGUGCACCAUGGCUUGCCGCAAUGUCACAACUGGUCCUUGGAGAGCCGCUGGUGGUGACGGGCUGCCUGUGUCCUCUCUGCGACAAAACUC